UACGGAGGGAGCUAGCGUUGUUCGGAAUUACUGGGCGUAAAGCGCACGUAGGCGGCUAUUCAAGUCGGGUGUGAAAGCCCCGGGCUCAACCUGGGAAUUGCAUUCGAGACUGCGUAGCUAGGGUGCGGAAGAGGGAAGCGGAAUUUCCGGUGUAGCGGUGAAAUGCGUAGAUAUCGGAAGGAACACCAGUGGCGAAAGCGGCUUCCUGGUCCAGCACCGACGUUCAGGCACGAAAGCGUGGGGAGCAAACAGG
rnacentral:rRNA from 1 species